AGUUCCUCUAAAUUUCACUAAACAAACCAGCAGAAUUAGCUUUCUUUGAAAACAAACUGCAUAAUUUUUGGCAUUGAAAUUCUGAUCUGUGUGGUGCAUCGAUAUUCCAUACAAUUGUAGCAAGAGCUUGGCCAAAUUUUACUGAAUAUAAUAGAAUAGAUUGUGUAAUCAAAAGAGUUUGAAAAUCAUUCAAAAAGCUGAUUGGCCAGUGCAAGGAAAUUGGCAAAUUUUGGCACCAAAAUCUGUCUUCAUUCAGGCAUUUUCNCAAANAGAUUGGACAGAAUUUUAAUUGCUUCUAAAUUCGAUUCAAUUGCAGUUUGAUUUUGUUUCUUGUUUUGUUAAUCAGUGUUAGAACCAUUCCUAAGCUUCUCUUUGUUGUGCUACCAUGUUUCUAUACCUUUUAUUGCUUUGAAUUCCAAUUUUUGGCAUUCUUGCAUACCACCUGUUUGAUUAAAGGUGAGUAGUGCAGUCUGGUUCUGCAGUAGAUAGUGUUCUUAUUAUUCACUGCUUUCAUUCACUUGUGACUCAUUUGUGAUCUGUUGGAUGUGCAUUCGUGGAAGAUUGAAUUGUCUCAUAAGUUCUUCUUUUCGGUAGCCUCCUAGGGAGUGGAGAAGUGGCAAGAAGCACUUGGAGAAGUGACUGAAGUGCUGCAACAAUUUCUGCUGGAAGCUGCCGAGAGCUACAGCUGCUAAACCAGUUUUUAGGUUCUAAAUCUGGUUGGUAAUAAGAUCCAUUCUUUUGGAAAAACUGGAAGCACACAUAGCUGUGAAUUAAUGCCAAAGUUGAACAACUUCAAGCAUCAGAAAUCACAGCAGCAAUGCUUAUUGCAACUUAUCUGCAGUAGUUGAAACUGGAUGCACAUUAUCCGUGACCAUCAGCAACUCCAGCGUGGUUUAAACCACAAACCGCAUUGCAUCAGGCUUUGCAGAGAUUUUAAUGCCCUUGAGUUCUAUUUCUAUUUUGCUGAUUUAGUGAUAAUCUGCAAUCUUUGCUGAAAUUGUGGUGUUCUUCUUUUAUGCAGAUUGUUCUGGACAAUUUGAAAGUAAUGCAAUCUUGCCAAGUAUAGUUAAAAUUUGGUUUGAUUAAAAUUGAAAAGGUUCGAACAGCAGAUUGCCAAGUGAGAGCAAAAUUGGAUCUAAUCUCCACAUCAAUGGUAGUAAAGUCGUGAGAGGAUUUGAAGAAUUUGUCCUUGGAAACAGUUAAGAGCUAAAGCUUAUACUUGGAGAGUAAAAGCAAUUCCUUUAGUGCCUAAAGUGUACAAACCAAACUACUUUUGCGGCACCAACUCAAAUUACUGCCACUGCAACUGCACACGGCUGCAAAGGGAGUAUUAUUAAUUUGUGAUGCAGUUAUAUAAUAGCAUUGCGGCUGACUACUGAUUUUGGAGUACAUUAUUUGUGCAGUUCUGCAAAGCAAAGGAGAAUCUUUACGUGGCCAACCAAAACCGAGAAAGGAAAUUGAAACUACAAGCUGGAAGACUCCCAAAAGUAGUCCAUCAAUUGGAUUUGAACAAGAACCAGAAUGUGGCAGCAACAAUUCUUAGCUUUCUUUUGUAAAUUGUAGUGUUCAUUUUUUACUUGUAAUAGGUUUGCUUUGCUAGUUUCUUCUUUGUAAAAGGCCAUUCAAAGUCCAAGUUGUCUUGGAAGAGUCCUUGGUGCUCUUUCAACUCUUGGCAAAACUUUUCUUGUGUGUGAUUUAAUUUGGUGUUUCACGUUAGGAAACAUUAGAGUCCGGCAUUAGAGUCCCAAAUUGUUGUUUUCCUUUGUUUUUUAUUUGCUUUUGAGUUUUCUUUUGUGAUUUUGAAAGUAAUCUUGCAAGUAACAACAACUAAGUAAGUAGCCUAGAACAAUUUUGGCAAGGACAAGGCUUGGUACUUAAGUAAUCCUAGUGAUUCACCUCCCUUACCUGGAAAUUGUUUUUGGGUGAAAUCUAAGUAGUUGCAACACAAGACAACUUUUAGAAACAAAAAUGUCUUUUUAUUCAUCUAGGUUAUCUAGUUCAUACAUUAAGGAUGAUUUGUGUACUAAAGCUAGAAAAAUUCCCUUCUUUGGUAAAGAUACAAAUGUCUUAACAUACUUAGUUUGGGAAAAAGAAAUUAAUCAAAUGCAUCCUGUUCUUCUUAGA